CCAUCAGAAAAUCGAAGUUCAAAACUUCAAACCACUUCAAAAGAGAGGGAAAAAGAACCGCAGGAACCAAGAAUCAAAACACCCGCUCCCUUCCCUCCCCAAAUAUUCAGCUUCUUCAACAAGCCAAACCCUAGGGGGGAAAACAAAUUAAAACGAAAAUCGUAACGAUGAACUCAUCGAUCUAGGGUUCCAAUGUCCCCUCGACUCCAAUCCCCAAUCUUGAGCCCUAAACCUUUCCCUCUCGUAUCCAACGACGAUGAUCACGAACGAGCUCAGGCACGCGCGGCGAUCGCAGCCUCCGUCCGCCGCCGAUCCGCCGCCUUCUCCCCUACUCCUCCGCCAUUUCGACAACCAGAGGAUCAUGGGUUCUUGGACGAUGAUCAGAUCAUGGAUCUUUUCCAGAAUUGCGUCAAGCUCGCAAGCGAAAACAAAAUCAACCAGAAGAACAUGUGGCAGCUCACGCUGAUUGACCAUCUCAGUGAGAUUAUUAGGGCUGGGCCUAGGGAUGAAGGCGACGAGACCAAUUUCCAGAAGGCUAGUUGUACUUUGGAAGCUGGAGUGAAGAUAUACUCGUUGCGAGUGGAUUCGGUGUAUUCGGAGGCGUAUAAGGUCCUUGGAUGGAUCAAUAGAGCCGGGCAAGAAGAAAUUGGGGGAAACAUGGGUGCCGGCGAUCAUACACAGACUAAGCAAGUACAAGGAUUUGCUAAGAAGGAUUUGGACAGGAAGUUGUCACCUUUAACUACAGUGGAACCUUCUUUUGAAGCCCUCAAUAUAAAGAAGUUUGAUGUGGCAUUUACUGUGGAUCCUCUGUAUCAUCAAACAUCAGCUCAAUUUGAUGAAGGGGGAGCCAAGGGUCUUUUGUUAAACAACUUUGGAGUUUAUGGUGGUUGUUGUGUGCUGUUUGAUUUAUUCGAGUUACCAGAGAAGACCAUUUUAUCUGAACCGGAGUAUCAUCACGCUAAUAUAAUAGACCUUUCAUUUGCUAAGGAAAACAUUGAACAGAUGAUAGUACACAUGCAUGCAAAAAGUGAUAUUUCUCCAACUUUAAGGGAUAUUUUGAGUCAGUUUGGCGAAAACAAUUGUAGGUCAUCAGAUGUACUUCCUGCAGCACAACAGCCACUGGUUCAAGAAAUAAAUAACAGUGACCAUUCUGAAGCAGGAAGUGAUGCAUUUGACGAUUUUGAGUGGUGGAAUUUUGGUCGCGAUGAUCAUGCAAGAUUAGGUGUCAAUGAUCCAACUGACGGCUUAAGUACUUCAGAUGCAAAUUUUAGUAGGCAUUCAGAUGGGAAUGGUGAAUGUGUAAUUGGGAAUCCUUUAAUAGAUCAGAAACUUGAAAAAAAUUCUGAUUUGCUUAUUCUAGGCUUGGGAUUCAUUUCAAAAUCAAAUGCUUGGGCAGGUCCUGAUCAUUGGAAGUAUCGGAAGGCCAAAGGUUUAGAACAAAUGCCAUGCUCAGAUAAUGAAAAUGAAUCAGAACUAGCAAGUAAGGAGCCAAAGAUAAAAAAGGGAGUGCCUGAUAUUGAUUUCACAAAAUCUCUGGACAUGCAGAUGCCUAACAUUUUUGCAUCCCCCAAAAGUCCAAAAUCACUGAUCUUACCGGCAAACAGGUCACCCUGCAUUACUAAACUUCCAGAAGAUUGCCACUAUAGACCAGAAAAUCUUGUCAGGCUGUUUCUUCUUCCCGGUUUUAUGCGUCUUGGGGAAAAAGCAAGAAAAAUAUCCGAUGAAUCAAUGCAAUAUGACAACUUUAUUCCAUUUGCUUCAUGUGAUGAUGAAAAUACGAGAAAUGACAACUCUGAUUAUCCAGCAUAUAGUAGCGAUAGGGAAGAUCUGGAAAAUCUUGUUCACCCGCCACGUCAGGUAAACAAAGUUGACAUACAGUACGACAAGGUACCGAAACAAGUUGAUGUUCAUGUCCUAAAAGAUGUGCUUUGGAGCAACAUACAAGAAUCAAUUCAGAUGUCUGAUGUGGGAAUCGAGGUGACUGUUUCCUUCAAGCAAGUUUUGCAUCAAUUUUCAAGUGAUUCUUGCCCCAUAACUUCUUUACCCAGGGACAUCUCGCCACAUUUGUUCUUCAUUUGUCUCUUACACCUGGCCAACGAGCACCACUUGAGCCUCCACAAGCAUCCAACACUGGACGAACUCGACAUUCACAUCCCCUCUUCAGUAAUCGUAUAGAAGUGGAAGUAAGCAAAAGCAAGAGUUGGAGUUAACAAGCUUACCAGAAAACAGUAAAAAGCUCCCUUUACAAAUUUAAAUCUCCUUAUUCAGAUAAACUCGGUGUCCAAUGAAAUGCCACUGAAUAUCUGCUGGGAGCUGCAAGAUAAAUAGUAAGGUUUAUCCUCAAGAAAACGUGUCAAAAGUUUAAUUAGUAUGUUUUUUGUGCAACUUUAUAAUGUAUGUAAAGUUUCCACAGUCAGGUAUAUGUCCUAUUUUGUUAUUGGGUGCAAAAGAAACAGGCAAAAUAGAAGGUGUUAACA